CCACCUACGGGGGGCAGCAGUAGGGAAUCUUCCACAAUGGACGAAAGUCUGAUGGAGCAACGCCGCGUGAGUGAUGAAGGGUUUCGGCUCGUAAAGCUCUGUUGGGAAUGAAGAAAGAUAGAGGUAGUAAAUGGCCUUUAUUUGACGGUAAUUACUUAGAAAGUCACGGCUAACUACGUGCCAGCAGCCGCGGUAAUACGUAGGUGGCAGGCGUUGUCCGGCUUGUUUGGGCGUAA
rnacentral:rRNA from 1 species